UAGGGAAUCUUCCACAAUGGACGCAAGUCUGAUGGAGCAACGCCGCGUGAGUGAAGAAGGUUUUCGGAUCGUAAAGCUCUGCUGUUGGUGAAGAAGGAUAGAGGCAGUAACUGGUCUUUAUUUGACGGUAAUCAACCAGAAAGUCACGGCUAACUACGUGCCAGCAGCCGCGGUAAUACGUAGGUGGCAAGCGUUGUCCGGAUUUAUUGGGCGUAAAGCGAGCUCAGGCGGCAUGAAAAGUCUGAUGUGAAAGCCCACGGCUCAACCAUGGAACUGCAUCGGAAACUGUCAUUCUUGAGUGCAGAAGAGGGGAGUGGGAUUCCAUGUGUAGCGGUGGAAUGCGUAGAUAUAUGGAAGAACACCAGUGGCGAAGGCGGCUCUCUGGUCUGCAACUGACGCUGAGGCUCGAAAGCAUGGGUAGCGAACAGG
rnacentral:rRNA from 1 species